UAGUCAUAUGCUUGUCUUAAAGAUUAAGCCAUGCAUGUCUAAGUAUAAGCUUUUAUACGGCGAAACUGCAAAGGGCUCAUUAAAACACUUAUAGUUUAUUUGAUGGUUUUUACUACAUGGAUAGCCGUGUUAAUUCUAUGGCUAAUACAUGCCCACAUAAUUCUUUUUCCUCUGGGGAAAGAGUAGUGUUUAUUAGAUACAGAACCAACAACCCAUUAUUAUUUUUGAUGAUAGAUUUCAGGUGAUUCAUAAUAACCGAACGGAUCGCAUUUAAUGCUGGUUGUGAACCAUUCAUAAUGGUUCCGGCGAUGGAUCAUUCAAGUUUCUGACCUAUCAGCUUUCGACUGUACUGUAUUGGACUACCGUAGCAGUGACGGGUAACGGGGAAUUAGGGUUCGAUUCCGGAGAGGGAGCCUGAGAAACGGCUACCACAUCUAAGGAAGGCAGCAGGCGCGCAAAUUACUCAAUCCUGACUCAGGGAGGUAGUGACAAGAAAUAACAACGGUGGAAGUUUUAUUUCUAGUGAUUGGAGUGAUGGGAAUCCAAACCCCUUUCAGAGUAACAAUUGGAGGGCAAGUCUGGUGCCAGCAACCGCGGUAAUUCCAGGUCCAAUAGCGUAUAUUAAAGUUGUUGCAGUGAAAAAGCUCGUAGUUGGAUUUCUGUUGGAAGCGACUAGUCCGCCUUUAAUUGGGUGUGCACUUGGUGAAUUCUGACAUGAUACUCCUGACGAUAACAAUAUACCGUAUUCGUACGUAUAUUAUUGUUGUUCGGACUGUUACUUUGAGAAAAUUAGAGUGUUUCAAGCAGGCCUACUGCUUUGAAUACUGCAGCAUGGAAUAACAAGAUAGGAUUUCGGUUCUAUUUUCUGUUGGUUUCUAGGACUGAAGUAAUGAUUAAUAGGGACAGUUGGGGGCAUUCGUAUUUAACUGGCAGAGGUGAAAUUCUUAGAUUUGUUAAAGACGAACUACUGCGAAAGCUUUUGCCAAAGAUGUUUUCAUUAAUCAAGAACGAAAGUUAGGGGCUUGAUGACGAUCAGAUACCGUCGUAGUCUCACCAUAAACUAUGCCGACUAGAGAUAGGAAAACGUCAUCCUUGACUUCUUCUGCACCUUAUGAGAAAUCAAAGUUUUCGGGUUCUCGGGGGAGUAUGGUCGCAAGGCUGAACCUUAAAAGAAUUGACGGAAGGGCACCAGCAGGCGUGCAGCCUGCGGCUUAAUUUGACUCAACACGGGGAAACUCACCAGGUCCAGACGUGGGAAGGAUUGACAGAUUGAUAGCUCUUUCUUGAUUCUAUGGGUGGUGGUGCAUGGCCGUUUUUCGUUGGUGGAGUGAUUUGUCUGGUUAAAUUUGUUAACGAACGAGACCUUAACCUGCUAAAUAGGGUCAGAAACAGUUGAUUCUGUUUAUGUAUCACUUCUUAAAGGGACUUUGUGUGUCCAACGCAAGGAAGUUUGAGGCAAUAACAGGUCCGUGAUGCCCUUAGAUGUUCUGGGCUGCACGCGCGCUACACUGAUGCAUCCAACGAGUUGAUUUUGGCCUUGGCCGAGAGGUUUAGGUGAUCUUUUGAGUAUGCAUCGUGAUGGGGAUAAAUUAUUGCAACUAUUAAUCUUCCACGAGGAAUGCCUAGUAGGCGCAAGUCAGCAGCUUGCGCCAAUUACGUCCCUGCCCUUUGUACACACCGCCCGUCGCUCCUACCCAUUGAGCGUUCCGGUGAAUUAUUCGGACUGUUCCGUGGUGCGAUCUUUUUCGUAUCCGGAGUGGGAAGUUUUGUGAACCUUAACACUUAGAGGAAGGAGAAGUCGUAACAAGGUUU
rnacentral:rRNA from 1 species